rnacentral:rRNA from 1 species
UACAGAGGGUGCGAGCGUUGUUCGGAAUUAUUGGGCGUAAAGGGCGCGUAGGCGGUGCGGUAAGUCACCUGUGAAAUCUCCUGGCUCAACUGGGAGUCUGCAGGCGAAACUGCCGUGCUGGAGUGUGGGAGAGGUGAGUGGAAUUCCCGGUGUAGCGGUGAAAUGCGUAGAUAUCGGGGAGGAACACCUGUGGCGAAAGCGGCUCACUGGACCACAACUGACGCUGAGGCGCGAAAGCUAGGGGAGCAAACGGG